CCUGCUUUACCGCCGCCGCCGCCACAGCGCCCGCUCUUUCUGAUCUUCCUCCUCCCCCACCCGCUUUCUGGGCACAUUCGGAGUUUCUGGUUCCGACCCCCGAAUCUUCUCCCCCAUCUUUCUCUCACGUAUCCGCCGCCCAUAACCGUCGCUUGCUUCGGAUUCUCCUUCCACCCACAAGCUCUAUAAAGGGCGUGAUCUCUCUCUCCCCUUCCUCCGUCCCCCUCCUCUCUCUCUCUCUUUCUCUCUCUCUCUCUCUCUCUCUCC
rnacentral:lncRNA from 1 species